GCCCGGAUAGUUCAAUGGUAGAACAUUAAUUUCAUGAGUUAAGAAUGAGAAUUCGAUUUUCUCUCCUGGCU